rnacentral:rRNA from 1 species
GUGUCAGCAGCCGCGGUAAUACGUAGGGGGCAAGCGUUGUCCGGAAUCAUUGGGCGUAAAGCGCGUGUAGGCGGUUCCGUAAGUCUGCUGUGAAAGUCGGAGGCUCAACCUUCGAAAGCCGGUGGAUACUGUGGAACUAGAGUCCGGAAGAGGCAUGUGGAAUUCCUGGUGUAGCGGUGAAAUGCGCAGAUAUCAGGAGGAACACCAACGGCGAAGGCAGCAUGCUGGGACGGUACUGACGCUGAGACGCGAAAGCGUGGGGAGCAAACAGGAUUAGAUACCCUUGUAGUCC